rnacentral:rRNA from 1 species
AUUGAACGCUGGCGGCAUGCCUUACACAUGCAAGUCGAACGGCAGCACGGGAGCAAUCCUGGUGGCGAGUGGCGAACGGGUGAGUAAUAUAUCGGAACGUGCCCAGUCGUGGGGGAUAACGUAGCGAAAGCUACGCUAAUACCGCAUACGAUCUAUGGAUGAAAGCGGGGGAUCGCAAGACCUCGCGCGAUUGGAGCGGCCGAUAUCAGAUUAGGUAGUUGGUGAGGUAAAGGCUCACCAAGCCGACGAUCUGUAGCUGGUCUGAGAGGACGACCAGCCACGCUGGAACUGAGACACGGUCCAGACUCCUACGGGAGGCAGCAGUGGGGAAUUUUUGGACAAUGGGCGAAAGCCUGAUCCAGCAAUGCCGCGUGAGUGAAGAAGGCCU